UGCAGUGGUGGCUCAGUGGUUAAAGGCUCUGGGUUAUUGAUCAGAAAGUCCUGAAUUCAAACCCCAGCACUGCAA